rnacentral:tRNA from 1 species
UCCUCGGCAGUCCAGUGGUUACGACUCUGCGCUUCCACUGCAGGGGGUGCAGGUUUGAUCCCUGGUCGGGGAA